CUACGGGAGGCAGCAGUAGGGAAUAUUGGUCAAUGGGGGCAACCCUGAACCAGCCAUUCCGCGUGCAGGAAUAAGGCCUAUGGGUCGUAAACUGCUUUUGUAUGGGAAAUGGUACCAUGAGAAUAAGGAUCGGCUAACUUCGUGCCAGCAGCCGCGGUAAUACGAAGGAUCCAAGCGUUGUCCGGAUUUACUGGGUUUAAAGGGUGCGUAGGUGGAAAAAUAAGUCAGUGGUGAAAGCUGGUAGCUCAACUAUCAAAUUGCCAUUGAAACUGCUUUUCUCGAGUACGGUUGAGGUAGCUGGAAUGUAACAUGUAGCGGUGAAAUGCUUAGAUAUGUUACAGAACACCAAUUGCGAAGGCAGGCUACUAAACAUACUGACACUGAGGCACGAAAGCGUGGGGAUCAAACAGGAUUAGAUACCCUGGUAGUC
rnacentral:rRNA from 1 species